rnacentral:misc_RNA from 1 species
GAUGAAGAACGCAGCGAAAUGCGAUAAGUAGUGUGAAUUGCAGAAUUCAGUGAAUCAUCGAAUCUUUGAACGCACAUUGCGCCCCUUGGUAUUCCAUGGGGCAUGCCUGUUCGAGCGUCAUUUGUACCUUCAAGCUCUGCUUGGUGUUGGGUGUUUGUCCUCGCUCCUCUGGGGUAGGACUCGCCUUAAAGUAAUUGGCAGCCGGCCUACUGGUUUCGGAGCGCAGCACAAGUCGCACUCUCUAUCAGCAAAGGUCUAGCAUCCAUUAAGCCUUUUUUUCAACUUUUGACCUCGGAUCAGGUAGGGAUACCCGCUGAACUUAAGCAUAUCAAUAAGCGGAGGA